UACGGAGGGUGCGAGCGUUAAUCGGAAUUACUGGGCGUAAAGGGCGCGUAGGCGGUUUAGUAAGUUGGGUGUGAAAGCCCUGGGCUCAACCUGGGAAUUGCACUUGAUACUGCUGAGCUAGAGUGUGGUAGAGGGAGGCGGAAUUUCCGGUGUAGCGGUGAAAUGCGUAGAUAUCGGAAGGAACACCAGUGGCGAAGGCGGCCUCCUGGACCAUAACUGACGCUGAGGUGCGAAAGCGUGGGGAGCGAACAGG
rnacentral:misc_RNA from 1 species